GACGAACGCUGGCGGCGUGCUUAACACAUGCAAGUCGAACGGAAAGGCCCUGCUUGCAGGGUACUCGAGUGGCGAACGGGUGAGUAACACGUGGGUGAUCUGCCCUGCACUUCGGGAUAAGCCUGGGAAACUGGGUCUAAUACCGGAUAGGAGCCAUUUUUAGUGUGAUGGUUGGAAAGUUUUUUCGGUGUAGGAUGAGCUCGCGGCCUAUCAGCUUGUUGGUGGGGUAAUGGCCUACCAAGGCGGCGACGGGUAGCCGGCCUGAGAGAGUGGACGGCCACAUUGGGACUGAGAUACGGCCCAGACUCCUACGGGAGGCAGCGGUGGGGAAUAUUGCACAAUGGGCGCAAGCCUGAUGCAGCGACGCCGCGUGGGGGAUGACGGCCUUCGGGUUGUAAACUCCUUUCGCUAGGGACGAAGCUUUUUGUGACGGUACCUAGAUAAGAAGCACCGGCUAACUACGUG
rnacentral:rRNA from 1 species